GAUGAACGCUGGCGGCGUGCCUAAUACAUGCAAGUCGAGCGAACAGACGAGGAGCUUGCUCCUCUGACGUUAGCGGCGGACGGGUGAGUAACACGUGGAUAACCUCCCUAUAAGACUGGGAUAACUUCGGGAAACCGGAGCUAAUACCGGAUAAUAUAUUGAACCGCAUGGUUCAAUAGUGAAAGACGGUUUUGCUGUCACUUAUAGAUGGAUCCGCGCCGCAUUAGCUAGUUGGUAAGGUAACGGCUUACCAAGGCAACGAUGCGUAGCCGACCUGAGAGAGUGAUCGGCCGCACUGGAACGGAGCCACGCACCAGACUCCUACGGGAGGGAGCAGAAGGCAAUCGUCCGCAAUGGGCGAGAGCCUGACGGAGCAGCCGCGCGUGAGUGAUGAAGGUCUUGGGAUCGUAAAACUCGGUUACGAGGGAAGAACAACUGUGUGAGGAACUAUGCCCGACUUGACGGUACCUAAUCAGAAAGCCACGGCUAACUACGUG
rnacentral:rRNA from 1 species